rnacentral:rRNA from 1 species
UACAGAGGGUGCAAGCGUUAAUCGGAAUUACUGGGCGUAAAGCGUGCGUAGACGGUUACAUAAGUCGGGUGUGAAAGCCCCGGGCUCAACCUGGGAAUUGCAUUCGAGACAGCGUAGCUAGGGUGCGGAAGAGGGAAGCGGAAUUUCCGGUGUAGCGGUGAAAUGCGUAGAUAUCGGAAGGAACACCAGUGGCGAAAGCGGCUUCCUGGUCCAGCACCGACGUUCAGGCACGAAAGCGUGGGGAGCAAACAGG